GUGGGGAAUAUUGGACAAUGGGCGAAAGCCUGAUCCAGCCAUGCCGCGUGUGUGAAGAAGGUCUUCGGAUUGUAAAGCACUUUAAGUUGGGAGGAAGGGUAGUAACCUAAUACGUUGCUACUUUGACGUUACCGACAGAAUAAGCACCGGCUAACUUCGUGCCAGCAGCCGCGGUAAUACGAAGGGUGCAAGCGUUAAUCGGAAUUACUGGGCGUAAAGCGCGCGUAGGUGGUUCAGUAAGUUGGAAGUGAAAUCCCCGGGCUCAACCUGGGAACUGCCUCCAAAACUACUGGGCUAGAGUACGGUAGAGGGUAGUGGAAUUUCCUGUGUAGCGGUGAAAUGCGUAGAUAUAGGAAGGAACACCAGUGGCGAAGGCGACUACCUGGACUGAUACUGACACUGAGGUGCGAAAGCGUGGGGAGCAAACAGGAUUAGAUACCCUUGUAGUCC
rnacentral:rRNA from 1 species